rnacentral:rRNA from 1 species
UAGUGAGUUUGAUCCUGGCUCAGGAUGAACGCUGGCGGUCUGCUUAACACAUGCAAGUCGAACGCAAGUAGAAAUACUUGAGUGGCGGACGGGUGAGUAACGCGUGAGAAUCUGCCUUCUGGUCGGGGACAACCACUGGAAACGGUGGCUAAUACCGGGAUAUGCCUAUGGGUGAAAGUAUUAAACUUGCCAGAAGAAAGAGCUCGCGUCUGAUUAGCUAGUUGGAGAGGUAAACGGCUCACCAAGGCAUCGAUCAGUAGCUGGUCUGAGAGGACGAUCAGCCACACUGGGGACUGAGACACGGCCCAGACGUCCUACGGGAGCAGCAGU